CGGCGGACGGGUGAGUAACGCGUGGGUAACCUGCCUCAUACAGGGGGAUAACAGUUAGAAAUGACUGCUAAUACCGCAUAAGCCCACGGGUCGGCAUCGACCUGAGGGAAAAGGAGCAAUCCGCUUUGAGAUGGCCUCGCGUCCGAUUAGCUAGUUGGUGAGGUAACGGCCCACCAAGGCGACGAUCGGUAGCCGGACUGAGAGGUUGAACGGCCACAUUGGGACUGAGACACGGCCCAG
rnacentral:rRNA from 1 species